AUUGAACGCUGGCGGCAGGCCUAACACAUGCAAGUCGAGCGGAUGAAGGGAGCUUGCUCCUGGAUUCAGCGGCGGAGGGGCGAGUGAGGGCUAGAAACCUGCCAGUCUGUUUUUUAGAACGUCCUGAAGCGGGCGCUAAUACCGCAUAAGCCCUGAGGGCGUACGGGGGGAAGCUGCGGACCUCCCGCCAUCGGAUGAGUCUAUGUCGGAUUAGCUAGUUGGCGGGGUAAAGGCCUACCAAGGCGACGAUCCGUAGCUGGUCUGAGAGGAUGAUCAGUCACACUGGAACUGAGACACGGUCCAGACUCCUACGGGAGGCAGCAGUGGGGAAUAUUGGACAAUGGGCGCAAGCCUGAUCCAGCCAUGCCGCGUGUGUGAAGAAGGUCUUCGGAUUGUAAAGCACUUUUAUUGGGGAAGAAGGGCAGUAAGUUAAUACCUCGCUGUUUUGACGGUACCAAAAGAAUAAGCACCGGCUAACUUCGUG
rnacentral:rRNA from 1 species